UACGUAGGGGGCACGCGUUGUCCGGAUUUAUUGGGCGUAAAGAGCGUGUAGGCGGCUAGGUAGGUCCGUUGUGAAAACUCGAGGCUCAACCUCGAGACGCCGAUGGAAACCAUCUGACUAGAGUCCGGAAGAGGAGAGUGGAAUUCCUGGUGUAGCGGUGAAAUGCGCAGAUAUCAGGAAGAACACCCGUGGCGAAGGCGGCUCUCUGGGACGGUACUGACGCUGAGACGCGAAAGCGUGGGGAGCGAACAGG
rnacentral:rRNA from 1 species